AUUCCAGCUCCAAUAGCGUAUAUUUAAGUUGUUGCGGUUAAAAAGCUCGUAGUUGGAUUUCGGGCGUGGAGGUUCGGUCCGCCGUUUCGGUGUGCACUGUCUUUCUGCGUCUUUCUGUCGGGGACGCGCUUCUGGCCAUAAUUGGCUGGGACGUGGAUUCGACGAGGUUACUUUGAAAAAAUUAGAGUGUUCAAAGCAAGCUAAAGCUCUGAAUACAUUAGCAUGGAAUAACGCGAGAGGACUCGGUCCUUAUUUUGUUGGUCUUCAAGGAUGGAGUAAUGAUUAAGAGGGACAGUUGGGGGCAUUCGUAUUUCAUUGCUAGAGGUGAAAUUCUUGGAUUUAUGAAAGACGAACUUCUGCGAAAGCAUUUGCCAAGGAUGUUUUCAUCG
rnacentral:rRNA from 1 species